GAUGGACGCUGGCGGCGUGCCUAAUACAUGCAAGUCGAGCGAACGGACGAGAAGCUUGCUUCUCUGAUGUUAGCGGCGGACGGGUGAGUAACACGUGGAUAACCUACCUAUAAGACUGGGAUAACUUCGGGAAACCGUAGCUAAUACCGGAUAAUAUUUUGAACCGCAUGGUUCAAAAGUGAAAGACGGUCUUGCUGUCACUUAUAGAUGGAUCCGCGCUGCAUUAGCUAGUUGGUAAGGUAACGGCUUACCAAGGCAACGAUGCAUAGCCGACCUGAGAGCGUGAUCGGCCACACUGGAACUGAGACACGGUCCAGACUCCUACGGGAGGCAGCAGUAGGGAAUCUUCCGCAAUGGGCGAAAGCCUGACGGAGCAACGCCGCGUGAGUGAUGAAGGUCUUCGGAUCGUAAAACUCUGUUAUUAGGGAAGAACAUAUGUGUAAGUAACUGUGCACAUCUUGACGGUACCUAAUCAGAAAGCCACGGCUAACUACGUG
rnacentral:rRNA from 1 species